GGGUGGUAGAGCACUUGCUUAGUGGUAGAGCACUUGCCUAGCAUGUGCGAGGCACUGGGUUCGAUUCUCAGCACCAUCCA
rnacentral:tRNA from 1 species